rnacentral:rRNA from 1 species
GCGAAUGGAUUAAGAGCUUGCUCUUAUGAAGUUAGCGGCGGACGGGUGAGUAACACGUGGGUAACCUGCCCAUAAGACUGGGAUAACUCCGGGAAACCGGGGCUAAUACCGGAUAACAUUUUGAACCGCAUGGUUCGAAAUUGAAAGGCGGCUUCGGCUGUCACUUAUGGAUGGACCCGCGUCGCAUUAGCUAGUUGGUGAGGUAACGGCUCACCAAGGCAACGAUGCGUAGCCGACCUGAGAGGGUGAUCGGCCACACUGGGACUGAGACACGGCCCAGACUCCUACGGGAGGCAGCAGUAGGGAAUCUUCCGCAAUGGACGAAAGUCUGACGGAGCAACGCCGCGUGAGUGAUGAAGGCUUUCGGGUCGUAAAACUCUGUUGUUAGGGAAGAACAAGUGCUAGUUGAAUAAGCUGGCACCUUGACGGUACCUAACCAGAAAGCCACGGCUAACUACGUGCCAGCAGCCGCGGUAAUACGUAGGUGGCAAGCGUUAUCCGGAAUUAUUGGGCGUAAAGCGCGCGCAGGUGGUUUCUUAAGUCUGAUGUGAAAGCCCACGGCUCAACCGUGGAGGGUCAUUGGAAACUGGGAGACUUGAGUGCAGAAGAGGAAAGUGGAAUUCCAUGUGUAGCGGUGAAAUGCGUAGAGAUAUGGAGGAACACCAGUGGCGAAGGCGACUUUCUGGUCUGUAACUGACACUGAGGCGCGAAAGCGUGGGAGCAAACAGGAUUAGAUACSCUGGUAGUCSACGCCGUAACGAUGAGUGCUAAGUGUUARAGGUUUCCGSCCGUUUAGUGCUGAAGUUAACGCAUUAAGCACUCCGCCUGGGGAGUACUCGCAAGCUGAACUCAAUGGAAUGACGKGGGCCGCCCAGGGUGAGCAUGCGUUAUCGAGCACGGAGWACUACAGUCUGA